CCUGCCUGGCUCCCGUCUCCUCCUCCUCCUCUGCUCACCUCCCCGCAGAACAGAAAAUGAUAGUCUGAAAGCGGCCUCUCCCGAUGCAAGCGUCCGCGCGCUUCUGCUCCUCCUCUGCGUCCUCCAAGAAGGUCUUUGCUGACAUUUCUGACGCCGUUGUACGGUCAUCGUAUCGGCCUCUCUGUGGGAAGGCACACCUGUCUUCUCUGUCUGGUGAGGAUCCACCGAGAGUUCAGAAGAGAGUAUCAAAACAAGAAAGAAGGGCCAGGGUGGAGGAAUUUGUUGAAAAGUAAGGCAAUUGUCAGCCAGACAGCAUUUCUGAUUGUAUUCUUGUGGUCAGCAUGUUUUACAGUUUGAUUUUGAUGCCUUUAUAGCUGUAUGUAUUAGAGUCUUGUCAUGUUUUAAUCUUGCAUGAAGGUGGAACCGUCUUGUAGAUUCGCGUGGUAUACUAGCAAUUUAUGAACACCCGAGCCAAUUGAUCAACUCUUUUCGGAAUCAGAUGUGUGUUUGACACCGCUGGAGUUACAGGGCAUCACAUGAAGGGAAAUUUCCAUCUGCUACAUCUGUUCGUCAGCAGGUUGGAGGGUCCUACUACAUAUCGUGGGAAUUACUCCAGGAAUUGGAGUAUAAUUCAAGACUAAAAUGUGAUGUGAGAGAUGCCUCUUUCAACUCAAGGAACUUUGAGGGAAGAUAUGGGCUAAACAACAUUGACCUCUCAACCAAAGAUGCUAGGACCAAAGAAGAACUGGUUGUACCUGAAGUCCAGAAGAGAGUAACAAAGCAAGAAAGAAGGAUCAGGGUAGAGGAAUUUGUUGAAAAGUAAGGCAACUCAGCGAGACAGCAUUUCUUAUUGAAUUAUUGUGAUCGCCAUUUGUACUCUCUGUUUGCACUUCUUUUUCGCUAAUUAUAAUCUUGGAUGAAGGUGGAACAACCUAACAGAUUUAGUUCUGUAGAAUUACGUUAUACUAUAUUUACAGGUUUACUUGCAAUGUCUGAUGGCCGAGAGCCAAUUUAUCACCUUUGUUCAGAAUCAGAUGUAAGUUUCGCACUGCCGGAGAUGGUGGUUGAUUAGAAAAAAAAGUCAUUUUCUUAUUCACAUGACCGGUGGCAAAGGUUAAAGAAACAUGCAUUAAGUAGCCAGUGAAUGACUCACAAACUCAGCUAGGGUCCCAUCAAACUGCUGGUUUUAGCUUAUGAAACCUGAAGAGUGAGUGAUUACGGGAGUCUUGUGAUUUAUGAGAUUAAUCUGAUCGACCACACUUUACAAUUGGUCUUUGAUGAAAAUCAAGUCUUGGCUUCAAAACAACCCUUGUCAAAUUUAUAUGGCAAAAUUACUGAUUAUCGAUGUUACCAGCUGGAUAUAGCCAUAUAUAAAUGUGCUUCUAGGAAUCAGAGUACUUGAUCAAUUGCUGAACUGUAUAUAUCUUUGUGCUUGUAAAUUAUGCCUGGCUCUACAACUUAACGCAGUUACAGGGCAUCGCAUGACGGAAAGUUUCCAUGCGCAACACAUGUUCGUCAGCAUGUUGGAGGUUCCUACUACAUAGUGCUCGCAUUACUCCAGGAAUUGGUGUACAAUUCAAGACUGGAGAGUGAUGUCAGAAACGCCUCUUUCAACUCAGCAUCCGUGAAGGAAAAACAUGGGUUAAACAAUAUUGAUUUCUCCACAAGAGAAAGAGAUGCUAUUCUCAGCUUUGAGGGCAUAAAGGAAGAAAUGCCGUAAACAUGCACAUGAAGGCUCAACUGGGUCAAAUCUUUGGGGAAGCCUGAAAUCCUUUGCUGAUGAACUCAGGCUCUUCUGGAACAAUCUGUAAAUUCUUAUGGUCUGCUAGAUGCAACUAAGUAUAGGAUUCACAUUGUUUCAUUAUUCUUUUCAUGGACAUGGAACACAAAUGUAAAGUUCUCCAUGAGGACCACCGCUUCAACAUCAAAUUA